UCCGGAUUACGUGACAUUCUUGGGACACCUUGCGUAUUGCUAGAUUUCAACUACACGUUUUUUUCCAUAAAUACGUAAAACGUAAGACGUAAAACGUAAAAUCCGCAGUCUAGCGGCGAAAGGUCAAAACGUUGAAUUGUUUACCUCGGCGUCGUACAACUGUAGGUGACAGAAAAGUGCGACGCAGAAAUGCAGAACUGCGUAAACACCUUGCCAGGCGGGCACGGCGUUGUCGUACAGUGUUCUGGAGGUGACCUAGACGGGGCAAGAAGAGCGUGGGUUGAAAAUAACGAAUGUUUCAGCGGUCAUUAUAACGCGGGGACAAGUUAGUGCGCGUCUAAGUACAUAAUAGGAAGCCCGUGCUUCUUCGCGUGCCGAAACCGGUUUACUCGGUCGCGACACGUUACCGGUGCUACACACGUGAGUUCGUUGUCGCACGCAAGUUUACCCGUGUUCUCAAUGAACGGACAGCAUCGAACCGAUUAUCCGCCGAUAUUCGACUUUCUCUGUCAUCGGAUUCAACGAUUCGCCGACACGAAGAUGGUCGAAGGACGAUACACUCACGUUUAUUUUACGCUCGUCGAGGCCCAAACGAGGCCCGCCGGGGAACCAACUGGGCCCUUUCCAAACGACCGCCAAUUUGUCUGUCAGUGAUCGCAUUUGAAGGCUUCUCUGUAUCAAUUGCAUACUGUAAAAUGUCUGCAAAAAUAUACGAAGGUUCAUGAGCCCGUUACGAGAGCUUGGGCGAGAAGAUGAAGAAGAUAAUUCAUGCAGGUUCGCAAUCCAAGAAAUCUGCAUAAGGGUACGUUAAAAUAACAUCUAAUUGUUUCUAUGUCUCUAGCAUUCCCGUCGUUCGGUAUUUGACCUAAUCGUUCAGUCCAAGAACAACGGGAUACAAAAUAACAAGUAAACAUAAAAAUUAAAAAUUAAAAUUACAGAUAAUCAUUACGAAUAAUUAACUGCAGUUAACCGACGUAACUAUAAAUCGUGGGUGGACCGGAAUCGAUUGCAUCGAAUCGCCUCGCAGAGAUUUUCCAAAAAAAUGUCCCGCGUGAAAGAAUACGAAAAAAAAGGAACGACGAAAAAGAAGAAGAAGAAUAACAGCGAGCGUGCAAUUACAUAUUUUUUUAACGCAGCGAGGCGACUGAUAGCUAUGGACACCUGAUGUCCAUAGCUAUCCAUUAUUGCAAUUGGAGCCGCGAAUCCUGAUUACAACACGAGCCGAGCCGUUCGGUUGUUAAUGUCAAUUGAAACCCGGCGGGAUUUGCAUAAACGAUUCAAACUUUAUGUAACGGAACGAUUAUGCGUGUUCGAUCGGACGGAUAGAUAGAGAGGCGGUCCGAUAUGGGCGACGAUUAUGCGCGAAGCUAAUAUAAGAUAGAACGGUUGCCGGGAUGCAACCGCCGCAAGCAACCGGAAUCGCUGCAGCCACCGCAGCCGCCGUCGCUGCUGCUCACCUGUAAAUACAGGGGAUUAAACGAUUCAGGACUGACAA